AUUGAACGCUGGCGGCAUGCCUUACACAUGCGAGUCGAACGGCAGCACGGGUGCUUGCCCCUGGUGGCGAGUGGCGAACGGGUGAGUAAUACAUCGGAACAUGUCCUGUAGUGGGGGAUAGCCCGGCGAAAGCCGGAUUAAUACCGCAUACGAUCUACGGAUGAAAGCGGGGGACCUUCGGGCCUCGCGCUAUAGGGUUGGCCGAUGGCUGAUUAGCUAGUUGGUGGGGUAAAGGCCUACCAAGGCGACGAUCAGUAGCUGGUCUGAGAGGACGACCAGCCACACUGGGACUGAGACACGGCCCAGACUCCUACGGGAGGCAGCAGUGGGGAAUUUUGGACAAUGGGCGAAAGCCUGAUCCAGCAAUGCCGCGUGUGUGAAGAAGGCCUUCGGGUUGUAAAGCACUUUUGUCCGGAAAGAAAUCCUUGGCCCUAAUACGGUCGGGGGAUGACGGUACCGGAAGAAUAAGCACCGGCUAACUACG
rnacentral:rRNA from 1 species